rnacentral:rRNA from 1 species
GAUGAACGCUGGCGGCGUGCCUAAUACAUGCAAGUCGAGCGAACGGACGAGAAGCUUGCUUCUCUGAUGUUAGCGGCGGACGGGUGAGUAACACGUGGAUAACCUACCUAUAAGACUGGGAUAACUUCGGGAAACCGGAGCUAAUACCGGAGAAUAUUUUGAACCGCAUGGUUCAAAAGUGAAAGACGGUCUUGCUGUCACUUAUAGAUGGAUCCGCGCUGCAUUAGCUAGUUGGUAAGGUAACGGCCUACCAAGGCAACGAUGCGUAGCCGACCUGAGAGGGUGAUCGGCCACACUGGAACUGAGACACGGUCCAGACUCCUACGGGAGGCAGCAGUCGGGAAUCUUCCGCAAUGGGCGAAAGCCUGACGGAGCAACGCCGCGUGAGUGAUGACGGUCUUCGGAUCGUAAAACUCUGUUAUUAGGUAAGAACAUAUGUGUAAGUAACUGUGCACAUCUUGACGGUACCUAAUCAGAAAGCCCCGGCUAACUACGUG